GGGAUUGUGGCUCAAUGGCAGAGCACUUGUCUCAUACAUAUGAGGCACUGGGUUUGAGCCUCAGCACCA
rfam:Ictidomys tridecemlineatus contig117510, whole genome shotgun sequence.